rnacentral:rRNA from 1 species
UUGGUGCCUUCGGGAACUCUGACACAGGUGCUGCAUGGCUGUCGUCAGCUCGUGUCGUGAGAUGUUGGGUUAACGUCCCGUAACGAGCGCAACCCUUGUCCUUAGUUACCAGCACGUUAUGGUGGGCACUCUAAGGAGACUGCCGGUGACAAACCGGGAGGAAGGUGGGGAUGACGUCAAGUCAUCCAUGGCCCUUACGGCCUGGGCUACACACGUGCUACAAUGGUCGGUACAAAGGGUUGCCAAGCCGCGAGGUGGAGCUAAUCCCAAUAAAACCGAUCGUAGUCCGGAUCGCAGUCUGCAACUCGACUGCGUGAAGUCGGAAUCGCUAGUAAUCGUGAAUCAGAAUGUCACGGUGAAUACGUUCCCGGGCCUU